rnacentral:rRNA from 1 species
UACGGGGGGGGCAAGCGUUGUUCGGAAUUACUGGGCGUAAAGGGCGCGUAGGCGGUCAGCACAAGUCAGUUGUGAAAUCUCCGGGCUUAACUCGGAAAGGUCAACUGAUACUGUGCGACUAGAGUGCGGAAGGGGCAACUGGAAUUCUCGGUGUAGCGGUGAAAUGCGUAGAUAUCGAGAGGAACACCUGCGGCGAAGGUGGGUUGCUGGGCCGACACUGACGCUGAUGCGCGAAAGCCAGGGGAGCGAACGGG